GACGAACGCUGGCGGCGUGCUUAACACAUGCAAGUCGAACGGUAAGGCUCCAGCUUGCUGGGGUACACGAGUGGCGAACGGGUGAGUAACACGUGGGUGACCUGCCCUGCACUUCGGGAUAAGCCUGGGAAACUGGGUCUAAUACCGGAUAGGACCGCACCGUGAGGGUGUGGUGGAAAGUUUUUUCGGUGUGGGAUGGGCCCGCGGCCUAUCAGCUUGUUGGUGGGGUAAUGGCCUACCAAGGCGGCGACGGGUAGCCGGCCUGGGAGGGUGGACGGCCACAUUGGGACUGAGACACGGCCCAGACUCCUACGGGAGGCAGCAGUGGGGAAUAUUGCACAAUGGGCGGAAGCCUGAUGCAGCGACGCCGCGUGGGGGAUGACGGCCUUCGGGUUGUAAACUCCUUUCACCAUCGACGAAGGGUUUCUGACGGUAGAUGGAGAAGAAGCACCGGCUAACUACGUG
rnacentral:rRNA from 1 species